rnacentral:rRNA from 1 species
GACGAACGCUGGCGGCGUGCUUAACACAUGCAAGUCGAACGGAAAGGCCCUGCUUUUGUGGGGUGCUCGAGUGGCGAACGGGUGAGUAACACGUGAGUAACCUGCCCUUGACUUUGGGAUAACUUCAGGAAACUGGGGCUAAUACCGGAUAGGAGCUCCUGCUGCAUGGUGGGGGUUGGAAAGUUUCGGCGGUUGGGGAUGGACUCGCGGCUUAUCAGCUUGUUGGUGGGGUAGUGGCUUACCAAGGCUUUGACGGGUAGCCGGCCUGAGAGGGUGACCGGCCACAUUGGGACUGGGAUACGGCCCAGACCCCUACGGGGGGCAGCGGUGGGGAAUAUUGCACAAUGGGGGGAAGCCUGAUGCAGCAACGCCGCGGGGGGGAUGACGGCCUUGGGGUUGUAAACCGUUUUCGCCUGGGACGAAGGGGGGGUGACGGUAAUGGGGAAAGAAGCACCGGCUAACUACGU